rnacentral:rRNA from 1 species
AGUGAACGCUGGCGGCAGGCCUAACACAUGCAAGUCGAGCGGCAGCGCGUCCGACCACCCUCGGGUGGUCGGAUGGCGGCGAGCGGCGGACGGGUGAGGAAUGCAUCGGAAUCUGCCUCGUUGUGGGGGAUAACGUAGGGAAACUUACGCUAAUACCGCAUACGACCUACGGGUGAAAGUGGGGGACCUUCGGGCCUCACGCGAUGAGAUGAGCCGAUGCCGGAUUAGCUAGUUGGCGGGGUAAAGGCCCACCAAGGCGACGAUCCGUAGCUGGUCUGAGAGGAUGAUCAGCCACACUGGAACUGAGACACGGUCCAGACUCCUACGGGAGGCAGCAGUGGGGAAUAUUGGACAAUGGGGGGCAACCCUGAUCCAGCAAUGCCGCGUGUGUGAAGAAGGCCUCGGUUGUAAAGCGACUUUAUCUAGGACGAAAAGACGUUAGGAGUUAAUACUUACUGACGUGCUGACGGUACC